GACGAACGCAGGCGGCGUGCUUAACACAUGCAAGUCGAACGAUGAAGCCUAGCUUGCUAGGUGGAUUAGUGGCGAACGGGUGAGUAAUACGUGAGUGACCUACCUUUGACUCUGGGAUAAGCCUGGGAAACUGGGUCUAAUACCGGAUACGACCAAUCUCCGCAUGGGGUGUUGGUGGAAAGCGUUAUGGAGUGGUUUUAGAUGGGCUCACGGCCUAUCAGCUUGUUGGUGAGGUAAUGGCUUACCAAGGCGACGACGGGUAGCCGGCCUGAGAGGGUGACCGGCCACACUGGGACUGAGACACGGCCCAGACUCCUACGGGAGGCAGCAGUGGGGAAUAUUGCACAAUGGGCGCAAGCCUGAUGCAGCGACGCCGCGUGAGGGAUGACGGCCUUCGG
rnacentral:rRNA from 1 species